rnacentral:tRNA from 2 species
GCGCCUAUAGCUCAGGGGAUAGAGUGCCGGUCUCCGGAACCGGGUGCGCAGGUUCGAAUCCUGCUAGGCGCACCA